rnacentral:sRNA from 1 species
UUUUUGCGUUAAGGGGUGGAGUGAAAAUCCUUUUUUAGCUCGCUUUUUUGCGAGGUGAAAAAGAUUGCAACGAAAAACCUGACCUUGC